rnacentral:rRNA from 1 species
CAGUCGUGCUGGCGCGAAAUCAACCCUCUCGUCGAGAGGUCACAUGGCGUGGCGAGCCUCAAAACCGUCGCGAAGCGUGAACUCUUGGUGAAAUGGAGCACUUUCGUGUCCGCUGGUUAACAUCAAUUUCGAUCGUCAUAAAAGGCUGGAGGGAUGUGGCUCCUUCGGGAGUGUUAUAACCUUAGCGGAAUGUGGUGGUCGGGAUU